CCUACGGGAGGCAGCAGUGGGGAAUAUUGGGCAAUGGGCGCAAGCCUGACCCAGCAACGCCGCGUGAAGGAAGAAGGCUUUCGGGUUGUAAACUUCUUUUCUCAGGGACGAAGCAAGUGACGGUAUCUAACCAGAAAGCCACGGCUAACUACGUGCCAGCAGCCGCGGUAAUACGUAGGUGGCAAGCGUUAUCCGGAUUUAUUGGGCGUAAAGGGAACGCAGGCGGAAUAUCAAGUCAGCGGUAAAAAUUCGGGGCUCAACCCCGUCGUGCCGUUGAAACUGAUGUUCUUGAGUGGGCGAGAAGUAUGCGGAAUGCGUGGUGUAGCGGUGAAAUGCAUAGAUAUCACGCAGAACUCCGAUUGCGAAGGCAGCAUACCGGCGCCCAACUGACGCUGAAGCACGAAAGCGUGGGUAUCGAACAGGAUUAGAUACCCCAGUAGUC
rnacentral:rRNA from 1 species